GAUUCGUACCCUACCUGACAGGGUGAGCGGCCACACUGGGACCGAGACACGGCCCAGACUCCUACGGUAGGCAGCAGUAGGGAAUCUUCCGCAAUGGACGAAAGUCUGACGGAGCAACUCCGCGUGAGUGAAGAAGGUUUUCGGAUCGUAAAACUCUGUUGUGAGGGAAGAACAAGUAUCAACUAACUAUUGGUACCUUGACGGUACCUCACCAAAAAGCCACGGCUAACUACGUGCCAGCAGCCGCGGUAAUACGUAGGUGGCAAGCGUUGUCCGAAAUUAGUGGGCGUAAAGCGCGGGCAUGCGGUCCAUUAAAUCUGAUGUGAAACCUCACGGCUCAACCCGUGGAGGGGUUUUUGGAAAACUGGGGGGGCCUGGAGUGCCCCCACAGGAAAGUGAAUUUCUGCGUUUAGGCGGGGCAAUGAGGGGAGGAAACCACCAAACCCAUAGGACAACGCGACUUUUGGGGGGG
rnacentral:rRNA from 1 species